rnacentral:rRNA from 1 species
CAGGAUGAACGCUGGCGGCGUGCUUAACACAUGCAAGUCGAACGAGGGUUGCUGGUUGAAGUUUCGGAUGGAAACCGGUAAUUCCUAGUGGCGGACGGGUGAGUAACGCGUGGGGAACCUGCCCCGCUCCGGGGGAUACCAGCUGGAAACGGCUGUUAAUACCGCAUAAGCGCACAGCAUUGCAUGAUGCAGUGUGAAAAAACUCCGGUGGAACGGGAUGGCCCCGCGUCUGAUUAGCCAGUUGGCAGGGUAACGGCCUACCAAAGCGACGAUCAGUAGCCGGCCUGAGAGGGCGACCGGCCACAUUGGGACUGAGACACGGCCCAAACUCCUACGGGAGGCAGCAGUGGGGAAUAUUGCACAAUGGGCGAAAAAGCCUGACCCAGCAACGCCGCGUGAGUGAAGAAGGCUUUCGGGUUGUAAAGCUCUGUUAUAGGGGACGAAGGAAGUGACGGUACCCUAUAAGGAAGCCCCGGCUAACUACGUGCCAGCCGCGGC